GGGUUGUUAGCUCAGUGGUAGAGCUUCUCCUUUACACGGAGGGGGUCGGGAGUUCGAAUCUCUCACAACCCACCA
rnacentral:tRNA from 1 species